CAGCUGCGCAGUGCACAUAUCGAACUAUUCUUUCGCCUUUUACUAAAGAAUACCGUGUGUUCGUUGCAAAUAAGCAGCAUAUCAUUAUUUUUUGAGGGAAUUUUCUGAAAAGGAUUC
rnacentral:snRNA from 1 species